rnacentral:rRNA from 1 species
UACGAAGGGGGCUAGCGUUGUUCGGAAUCACUGGGCGUAAAGCGCACGUAGGCGGAUCUUUAAGUCAGGGGUGAAAUCCUGGAGCUCAACUCCAGAACUGCCUUUGAUACUGGGGAUCUCGAGUCCGGAAGAGGUGAGUGGAACUCCGAGUGUAGAGGUGAAAUUCGUAGAUAUUCGGAAGAACACCAGUGGCGAAGGCGGCUCACUGGUCCGGUACUGACGCUGAGGUGCGAAAGCGUGGGGAGCAAACAGG